GAAAUGCGAUAAGUAAUGUGAAUUGCAGAAUUCCGUGAAUCAUCGAAUCUUUGAACGCACAUUGCGCCCUCUGGUAUUCCGGGGGGCAUGCCUGUCCGAGCGUCAUUGCGAACCCCUCAAGCACGGCUUGUGUGAUGGGCCCUCCCGCGUCUUGGUCGUCAAGACGGGCCCGAAAUGCAGUGGCGGCUUCGCGGUUAUCCGAUCAGCCAGAGUGUAUGGGGACUUUCUCUCUGUCACACGCCCGCGGCGCGGACCGACGCCUGUCGACCUUCAUUCAUCGUUUUCCCGGUUGACCUCGGAUCAGGUAGGGAUACCCGCUGAACUUAAGC
rnacentral:misc_RNA from 1 species